rnacentral:tRNA from 1 species
UAGCUCAGUUGGUUAGAGCACCUAUUUAGAAAGCAUGAGGUUUUGAGUUCAAAUCUCAA